UGGCCCCGCCCCGUCGUCUUCCUCCUAUCGUUCUCUCUCGCUCUCCUCGGCGCGGCCCGUUGUUAUGACGACACGGUCGUAAAUCCGCCAUCUUCCUGCGGCGCGUUGCGACAUGGAGGGCGCGAUGGCAGUGCAGGUGACGGCCGCGCAUACGGCAGAAGCCCGGGCCGAAGCUGGGCGGGAAGCAGGCGAGGGCGGGGUCGCGGCGGCGGCGGCGGCGGCGGCGUCCUUGGCCCCCGGCGGCUUCCUCGGUCUCCCAGCGCCCUUUAGCGAGGAAGAUGAGGACGACGUGCACAGAUGUGGCCGCUGCCAGGCGGAGUUCACUGCCUUGGAGGACUUCGUCCAGCACAAGCUCCAGAAGAUCUGCCAGCGGGCCCCGCAGGAGGCCCUGCCCGCCACCCCUGCCGCCACUGCACUGCUGGGCCAGGAGGUGGUGCCAGCGGCAGGCCCAGAAGAGCCCAUCACUGUGGCCCACAUUGUGGUGGAGGCGGCCGCUCUAACAGCAGACAUCAGCCACGCGCCCGACAUCGUCAGCAGUGGACACAUCAAAGAGGUCAUCGUGGCCGCUGAGGCGGAGCCGGGGGACAGUGAGAUGGCAGAGGCCCCAGGCAGCCCCAGCCAUCAGGGGCCUGGGCUCACUGGGGAAGGCGAGCAGGCCCAGGUCAAGCUGCUGGUGAACAAGGACGGCCGCUAUGUGUGCAUGCUCUGCCACAAGACCUUCAAGACGGGCAGCAUCCUCAAGGCCCACAUGGUCACCCACAGCAGCCGCAAGGACCACGAGUGCAAGCUGUGUGGGGCCUCCUUCCGGACUAAGGGCUCACUCAUCCGGCACCACCGGCGGCACACAGAUGAGCGCCCCUAUAAGUGUGCCAAGUGUGGGAAGAGCUUCCGGGAGUCGGGUGCACUGACCCGACACCUCAAGUCUCUCACCCCGUGCACAGAAAAAAUCCGCUUCAGCAUGAGCAAGGACAUGGUUAUUGGCAAAGAGGAGACACCUGCAGGGUCUGGUGCCUCCACUGUGGGGACCAUUACAUCAUCAUCAGUGACAGGUGAGCCCAUGGAGACGUCGCCUGUGAUUCACCUGGUGACAGAUGCCAAGGGCACAGUCAUCCAUGAAGUCCAUGUCCAGAUGCAAGAGCUUCCCCUGGGCAUGAAAGCCCUGGCCCCAGAGCCCCCGGGCCCUGAGGAGCUUCCUUGUUCCAGCGAGGGCAGCCGUGAGAACCUGCUACACCAGGCCAUGCAGAACUCUGGCAUCGUCCUUGAGCGGGUUGCUGGGGAGGAGGGGGCCCUGGAGCCAGCCCCUCCUGCUGCAUCCAGUCCCCAGCCCCUGGGAGGCGGUCCCUCAGAACUGCCACUGCUGGAGGUGGAGCAGGUGGACACACAGGUGGCCAGUGAGGCCUCAGCUGUGCCCAGGACCCACCCGUGCCCUCAGUGCAGUGAGACCUUCCCAACGGCGGCCACCCUGGAGGCCCAUAAAAGGGGCCACGCAGGGCCAAGGCCGUUCACGUGCGUGCAGUGUGGCAAGGCCUUCCCCAAGGCCUACCUGCUCAAGAAGCAUCAGGAGGUGCACGUGCACGAGCGCCGCUUCCGCUGCGGGGACUGCGGGAAGCUCUACAAGACCAUUGCCCACGUCCGUGGCCACCGACGUGUCCACUCAGAUGAGCGGCCCUAUCCCUGUCCCGAGUGUGGCAAGCGCUACAAGACCAAGAAUGCCCAGCAGGUGCACUUCCGGACACACCUGGAGGAGAAGCCACAUGUGUGCCCGUUUUGCAGCCGAGGCUUCCGGGAGAAGGGCUCGCUGGUGCGUCAUGUGCGGCACCACACGGGCGAGAAGCCCUUCAAGUGCUACAAGUGUGGCCGUGGCUUUGCCGAGCACGGCACGCUCAACCGGCACCUGCGCACUAAAGGGGGCUGCCUGCUGGAGGUGGAGGAGUUGCUGGUGUCCCAGGAGAGCCCUGCAGCAGCUGCCACUGUCCUCACUGAGGACCCGCAUACUGUGUUGGUUGAGUUCUCGUCAGUGGUGGCUGACACCCAGGAGUACAUCAUUGAGGCCACCGCGGACGAUGCGGAGACCAGUGAAGCCACAGAGAUCAUCGAGGGCACCCAGACGGAGGUGGACAGCCACAUCAUGAAGGUGGUGCAGCAGAUCGUGCACCAGGCCAGCGCUGGGCACCAGAUCAUCGUGCAGAAUGUGACCAUGGACCAGGAGGCGGGGCUGGGCCCGGAGGCAGCUGCUGCCGACACCAUCACCAUUGCCACCCCUGAGAGCCUAACAGAGCAGGUGGCCAUGACACUGGCCUCGGCCAUCAGCGAGGGCACUGUGCUCACAGCCCGGGCAGGCACAAAUGGCGCAGAGCAGGCCACUGUGACCAUGGUUUCGUCAGAGGACAUUGAGAUUCUGGAGCACGCUGGCGAGCUGGUCAUCGCCUCGCCAGAGGGCCAGCUGGAGGUGCAGACGGUCAUCGUCUAGCCUGGAUGCCUGCAGAGUCCCGGUGGGCUGGUCUGGCGCAGGGGGCAAGGACCCUGAGCACCCUGCCAGUGCCUGCCUGGCCUGCGCAGAGAAGAUGGGGCACAGAAUUCAGGUGCUCAGAGGAGAUAUGGGAGUGUAAAUUUACAGAGUUUUUUGUUGCUUUACAAUAAAACAUGAAAACCCGCCGCUUGUGAUGUUGCGGCAGUGGCAGCCUGGAGGGCUGGCACCACUACCCUGGCAGGUCCCUCCACAGCAGCACCUGCCUGCCCAGGCCACCCUCUAGACUCUUGUGCCUGGCUACCCCGCCCAGGGCUCCUGGUGGGGCUGGCGGCACAUUGGCGGCGCGUGGGUGUCCCUGGCAUGUGGACAGACAGCUUCCUGCUGUUGCCCUGCCCACCUGGAGCUGUGGCCCCAACUUCCCGAGGCCUCCUGAGGUGGAUGGAAGUGGGUGCUGCCUCACCGCCUCCAACCCUGGGGCUGUCCUGGGGCAGGGGACCAAGAUCAGGAGACCCAGCAGCCUCAGCUUUUUACCCUGAGAGCUGCUGCUUGACCAAGCCGGCGUCUGUCCGAUGCCACGCACACACCCCCAGCUUGGACCUCAGACCUCCACUCCGACCCAG